rnacentral:lncRNA from 1 species
ACUACAUUUUAGUUCGACUUGUAUCUAACAAUCAUCCCUGUUGCCCCCAAUUUUUUAGUUAAUUCAUACAACUGCUUAUUGCUCUAUAAUUUCUAUUAAUUAUUUAUAUAUGUUAUUUUGUGUCAUCCAGGGAACAAGUGAUCUAUAUGUUGUCAUACAACUGGAUUCUCAUACGGCUAAAAGCGAUAUCAAAUGGGGGUGAGCAUUUAUAUCAAUUUUGUUUUGUUCAUUUCACUUAUUCAAAGGCCAUCAUCUCAAUGGUCAAGAAUCAAUUAUACAAUUCUUAGUUUGUUUUGACUUUUCUUAUAAAAAUCUUUAAUAUUGUCCCUGGAAGCAUUUCCCUAGGUUUGAAGUAUUUUGUAUAAUCAUUUUCUUUAAAAUUUGUAUAUUGGCUAAAUGGAUAAAAGAAUAACAUGCAGGGACCAUUUUUUUUAAUUCAUAAAAUCCCACUGUGUACUUGUCUUCCAUUUCCUUUGCUAGAAUUUAAUGUCUUAACUUCAGUUGUAUCUUUGUAUAAUGUUUUCCAAAUUACUAAUACAAGUCAUUAGAUUGGUUCAUUUAUGUAAAAUUAAUUGAUGGCAGGACAAAAAAAAGGCAUCAUUUAAUAUCAAGCAGCCUCCAAACCAAUAUUUACAGGUUAACAAGCAUGAUCACUCUUUCUCACUUACAUAUAUGGAGCAUUAUACAUGAGCUUGGGGUAAGAUUCUUCAUAGGCUUUUGGGCUAAUUAUUAGGUUCAUUACUAGUUUCGCAAUCAUGGAGAAUUGCUUAUCUGAGGUUCUUGAACAAAUUUAUAGACUAUGUACUUUUAAUGGUUGCAUUGAACAUAGUGAAGUGCCAAAGGUGGCUAAAAGACUAACAGGUGUAUAAUUAUAAUAACGUCUUUCUUUGAAUUUCGUUAUAUUUAUUUCUCUAGUUUUAAUACUUAAAGGGAGAAUGCCUUUCUAAAAAUGAAUGUNGAUAUUGGCUUGGGAUGAAUGUAAUAGUUAGAAUUUAAUUGUUUAAUAAGUCUUUAUCCUAGCUUACAGUAGUUCCAAAAGUACUUUUUCAUAUAUUAUGUGUUUNUCUUAGCUACAAAUUGAUUUUCAUCAAUUUAUUGAACAUUGAUUGUAUCUUAUACUCCUAUUCAUGACUUGGUAGUUAGUUCCUUUUACAAGAAAUUAUUUUUGUUUUUGUUGCUGUAAAGAAAUUAUAUAUAGUAUGCUCUGUUUUGAAAUUUUGGGUUUUUAAUUGAUUUCUCCUAAAUCACAUUUUAAAUCAUUAAUACAAUCCUAAGAUUUCNUUUUAGUUUAUUAUCAUUAAAACAUGAUCUUANAAGAGGGACUUGAAUUGAACAAUAUUUUUAGUUAUCAAAAUCUCAUUCAAUGUCUUAGUUUAUUAUGUGUGGACCUCACUCAGCAAAGUCGUGUUUAUAUUUAAAAAUGAUGAACGUUUUAAGGCUGUUGAACGUGACAAAGAUNGUUUAUAUUAUGCAAUUUUUGUAUCCAGCACUACACUCGCGUGUGAAAUUUGGGGCAAUCUUUUUAAAGACACAGUUCAUAAUGAAUUGAAUGUAGGUCCAUAUCUUGUUUUCUUGCAAUGUUGAAUCUAAUUUAAGUGUUACAUGCUUUUGAAUUAUUGUUUAUGCUCACCUGCUCCUCUUUAUCCAUUUGCAGUUGGAGGUGGCUUUAAUUUGAAGAAAUGGUAANUAUUGGGCGCUGUAAAUAAAUAUUGGGAGGCAUCUAGAUUAAUUCAUGGCUNAGGUAUAAAUUUUAAAAUUAUGCAUCAUAUACUUUGACUUGAUUUUUGCUAUUAAUGGAAUCAAAAGGAGUUUCAAGUUCGUUUACCUUUCACUCAAUUCAGUACUUUCUUUGCUUCCGAAUGCAUACUUGUUAGUUGUCGCAUUCAUGUUGAUGACCAGUUUGUUUUCCCUUAAUUCUAUUACAACAUUUUUGGCAAGAGACUAUUAUGAUAUUCUUGGUGUGAGUAAGAAAGCACGUUCUUCUGAAAUAAAGAAAGCUUACUAUGGGGUAAGUUUUCCCUUGUCAUUGCCAUUGUCAGUGAACUAUUAAUGGUUUCUAAAUUUUUUCUGAGAUUUGUGGUUCAAUUUGAUUGUUUUUUUUAUCCCCUGAUUCUAAGCCAUCAUAUGUUAGAGAACUUCUAAUAAUUUUUUAAAUUUUCUUUAAAUAUUUUAUUUGUCCAUCUAUAUUGAAAUGUGUUUUAACUCAAUCUUUUUUUAAUUUUUUAUUCAGGCAUUGCAUGAGGUUAUAGGCGCAAGUGUCUACUUGGUCAGGAACUGUUACAAAAUGUAGAAGUAAUUCUUUGUAUUUUUUCUUGUAGUGAAGGAAUUGUGUUUUUUCUUGUAGUGAAGGAUAAUUUAUUUAUUAAUUUUUUUAUAAAAUCAUAGUUACAUA